CUUUUACACCGUGAAGCACUAUAAUGCUCAAUAUAAUUGUGAUCCAUGCUCUGAUCUGAGUUUUAGAUGUAUUAUGGGUGAUGAGGUUGAUGGCGUUCCUGGGAUACAAAACAUGGCUCCUGGGUUUGGUCGAAAGACUGCUUUAAAGCUUUUGAAAAAACACGGUUCAUUGGAAAAUUUGCUAAAUGCGGCAGCAGUAAGAACUGUGGGCAAACAAUAUGCACAAGAUGCCC
rnacentral:misc_RNA from 1 species